CUCUAAAAACGGCUGGGUUAUUUUUUAACCCAAAAUGCUGGGUUGAGUCUGUUGGGUCAUUUUGUUGGGUUAUUUAAUUUCUUUUUAAACACUUUUGGGUAGUUUCAAUUUACCAGGUGUUGGGUUAAACCUGCUGGGUUGCGUCGCUGGGUUGUUUCAGGCCAGCGCUGGGUUAUUUAACGCGCCUUGAAGAUGUUUAAAUCGCUCCCCAACUGUCACUUUGGAAGAACAACGGGGCAAAGCCACGGCUUUCAACUGUUUUAAGGUUGGAACAAACAUGGAAUUCCUUAACUGAGCAGAGUCCACAAAACCCCAUCCAAUUGUUGUGGCGAUUUAAAAAUGCCAGCAGAUCUCUCAGGCAUUGAUCAUAAUCAAUGUACAGGUCACCGUAGCCACCCGUAUCUCCUCUACCUCGACCUCUACAUCCCUGAAAGACAGCGGAGACCAGGACAACUAGAGCCCCAGAUACAGAUCCCCUGUAAAGACCUUGUCUCAGAGGAGCACCAGGACAAGACCACAGGAAACAGAUGAUUCUUCUGCACAAUCUGACUUUGCUGCAGCCUGGAAUUGAACUACUGGUUUCGUCUGGUCAGAGGAGAACUGACCCCCAACUGAGCCUGGUUUCUCCCAAGGAUUUUUCUCCAUUCUGUCACCGAUGGAGUUUUGGUUCCUUGUUUUUUUUUAGUUGGGGACAAUUAAUAUCAAGCGAUAUCAUCCACUUGAUUGCACAGAGGGACGAUACAUCACUGAAUCAAUGACGAAUUGACUUUAACUGAAAACUGAGUGUUUACUUUUGUCCCUUUGCAUUAUUACACACUAUUUUCCUAUUUAAUACUGUAAAGCUGCUAUGAUGCAGUAUUUGAUCAAUAUGACAGGCUUAUUACUCAUAAUACAUGGAAAAUACAGCUACAAACUGACUUUGUUUUUUCAUUUGAAAUUUGGCAGUCACUGUGCAUUCAUGAAAACUGAAACCGUAAUUUUUGUUCAGUGUUUUUGAAACAGUGUUUUUGUUCAAGAUUUGCAAUUAUGUUUGGAUUGUCACAAUUUGUCACAUGUGGAAAACGCAAUUGAAAAUAUAAUUAGCAAUUUCUUUUGAAAAUGGUCCUUCCAUAGCUCUAUAACGGAGUACACUGCUCUCAGGUGUAGAUCUUUGCUUCAGAGCUUAAGUGUUUGACAAUAGUUCACCCAAAAAUGAAAAUUGUCACUAAUUAUUCACCCUGGUCUGAAAGCUCUCGAAUAUCAACGAAAAUAUCUUAACUUGUGUUCUGAAGAUGAACGAAGGGCUUACGGGUUUGUAACGACAUGAAGUUGAGUGAUAAAUGACAGAAUUUUCAUUUUUGGGUGAACUAUAUGUUGAACUACCCUAAGCAGUGCACAUCUACCUACGUAGGAGUCUUUAUAUACUUGAUAUAAAUUUAAGGAUUAAUUAAUUUAAAGAAUGUUAAUUGUCAAUGUCAUUUCACUGUGUAUUUAAAUAGCUAAAAAUCUCAAAAUGUAAUAGUUAAACAGCUAGACACAGGUCAUUCAGAAAUAAUUUUCUUAUUUAUUGCAACUGUAUUUCUGUGAUUUUUUAUUUAUUUAUUUUGCAUUUGCUGGAAACAAAAAAAGGGAAAAUUCCAUGUUGUUUGUCAUUGGUACAAAUUUUUUAAUGUCAGAUGGCAUUAAAAAUAUUUUUUAACAGUCUAAAUAACCUGUAUUCUUCAUUAUUUAUUAAUCCAUGAUUGCUUUGUUAAGCAAAAGUGAAAUUAUGAGAAUAACCCAGCAAGAAUAACCCAGAAUCAUAAAAAAGCAAACCCACAAAUGGUAAAAAUGACUCUAUCUUGGGUUUUCUCAAUAACCCAGCAUGCUGGGUUAAAAUGUGUAAACCAGCAUGCUGGGUUACUUUAACCCAGCAUGUGUUCUGUCCAAUAUUUACCCAGUGCUGGGUUGCCAAUUGGGUUAUUUUUAACCCAGCCAUUUUUA